UACCAGCACCCCGAGUGGUCGGACGUUUAUUGGGCCUAAAGCAUCCGUAGCCGGUUCUACAAGUCUUCCGUUAAAUCCACCUGCUUAACAGAUGGGCUGCGGAAGAUACUAUAGAGCUAGGAGGCGGGAGAGGCAAGCGGUACUCGAUGGGUAGGGGUAAAAUCCGUUGAUCCAUUGAAGACCACCAGUGGCGAAGGCGGCUUGCCAGAACGCGCUCGACGGUGAGGGACGAAAGCUGGGGGAGCAAACCGGAUUAGAUACCCGGGUAGUCCCAGCUGUAAACGAUGCAGACUCGGUGAUGAAUUGGCUUAUUGCUAAUUCAGUGCCGCAGGGAAGCCGUUUAAGUUUGCCGCCUGGGGAGUACGGUCGCAAGACUGAAACUUAAGGAAUUGGCGGGGAGCACCACAAGGGGUGAAGCCUGCGGUUC
rnacentral:rRNA from 1 species